rnacentral:rRNA from 1 species
GGCGGAAAGUGCAAGGUUAAUUGGGACCCCGUAUACAAGCCCAAGAUUUAUGGUGGACUAGGAGUGCUCAACCUCCAGAAGUUUGCGAUUGCACUACGCUUGCGUUGGCUCUGGCAUGAAUGGGAUGAUCCACCAAAGACUUGGUCUGGCUCAGGAACGCCUUGUACUAGCAAUGACAAAGAUCUCUUCGCUGCUGCCACACGGGUGUGCAUCGGAGAUGGAAACAAAGCUAAAUUCUAG